rnacentral:rRNA from 1 species
AGUGAACGCUGGCGGCGUGCCUAAUACAUGCAAGUCGAACGGAGUGGCGCACGGGUGAGUAAUAUAUAGCUAAUCUGCCCCUUGCUGGAGGACAACAGUUAGAAAUGACUGCUAAUACUCCAUAGCAAGGGAUGAGACUAUAUCGUAUCAGCUAGUCGGUGGGGUAACGGCCUACCGAGGCUAUGACCCGUAACUGGUCUGAGAGGAUGAUCAGUGACAUGGGAAGUGAGACACGGUUCAGACACAUACGGGAAGCGGCAGUAGGGAAUAUUGCGCAAUGGGGGAAACCCUGACGGAGCAACGGCGCGUGGAGGAUGCCCCGUUUCGGGGCGUAAGCUGAUUUUGUUAGGGAAGCGGUACCUAACGAAUAAGCACCGGCUAACUCCGUGCCAGCAGCCGCGGUAAUAC